UCAAGUAAUUAAGUGCAUGUGGUGGAUGCCUUGGCAGUCAGAGGCGAUGAAAGACGUGAUAGCCUGCGAAAAGCUCCGGGGAGGCGGCAAAUAUCCUUUGAUCCGGAGAUGUCUGAAUGGGGGAACCCACCUACUUUAAGGUAGGUAUUGCAACAUGAAUACAUAGUGUUGCAAGGCGAACGAGGGGAAGUGAAACAUCUCAGUACCCUUAGGAAAAGAAAUCAAUUGAGAUUCCCUCAGUAGCGGCGAGCGAACGGGGAUCAGCCCAUUAAGUUAUGUGUGUUUUAGUGGAACGCUCUGGGAAGUGCGAACGUAGAGGGUGAUAUUCCCGUACACGAAAGGGCACACAUAAUGAUGACGAGUAGGGCGAGGCACGUGAAACCUUGUCUGAAUAUGGGGGGACCAUCCUCCAAGGCUAAAUACUCCUGACUGACCGAUAGUGAACCAGUACCGUGAGGGAAAGGCGAAAAGAACCCCUGUGAGGGGAGUGAAAUAGAUCCUGAAACCGCAUGCAUACAAGCAGUGGGAGCACCUUCGUGGUGUGACUGCGUACCUUUUGUAUAAUGGGUCAGCGACUUAUAUUCAGUAGCAAGGUUAACCGUAUAGGGGAGCCGUAGAGAAAUCGAGUCUUAAUAGGGCGUUUAGUUGCUGGGUAUAGACCCGAAACCAGGCGAUCUAUCCAUGAGCAGGUUGAAGGUUGGGUAACACUAACUGGAGGACCGAACCCACUGUCGUUGAAAAGCCAGGGGAUGACUUGUGGAUAGGGGUGAAAGGCUAAUCAAGCCUGGUGAUAGCUGGUUCUCCCCGAAAGCUAUUUAGGUAGCGCCUCGGACGAAUACCAUAGGGGGUAGAGCACUGUUUCGGCUAGGGGGUCAUCCCGACUUACCAAACCGAUGCAAACUCCGAAUACCUAUGAGUACUAUCCGGGAGACAGACUGCGGGUGCUAACGUCCGUAGUCAAGAGGAAAACAAUCCAGACCGCCAGCUAAGGCCCCAAAAUCAUAGUUAAGUGGGAAACGAUGUGGGAAGGCAUAGACAGCUAGGAGGUUGGCUUAGAAGCAGCCACCCUUUAAAGAAAGCGUAAUAGCUCACUAGUCGAGUCGGCCUGCGCGGAAGAUGUAACGGGGCUAAAACUAUGUGCCGAAGCUGCGGAUGUAUACUUUGUAUACGUGGUAGGGGAGCGUUCUGUAAGCCGAUGAAGGUGUGUUGAGAAGCAUGCUGGAGGUAUCAGAAGUGCGAAUGCUGACGUGAGUAACGACAAAACGGGUGAAAAACCCGUUCGCCGAAAGACCAAGGGUUCCAGUCCAACGUUAAUCGGGGCUGGGUGAGUCGACCCCUAAGGCGAGGCCGAAAGGCGUAGUCGAUGGGAAAAUGGUUAAUAUUCCAUUACUUCUGUGUAAUGCGAUGAGAGGACGGAGAAGGCUAAAUCAGCCUGGCGUUGGUUGUCCAGGUGAAAGGAUGUAGGCAUGUAUCUUAGGCAAAUCCGGGGUACUCUAUGCUGAGAUCUGAUAGCAAGCUGUACUUGUACAGCGAAGUGGUUGAUGCCAUGCUUCCAGGAAAAGUCUCUAAGCUUCAGUUACACAGGAAUCGUACCCGAAACCGACACAGGUGGUCAGGUCGAGUAGACCAAGGCGCUUGAGAGAACUCUGCUGAAGGAACUAGGCAAAAUGGUACCGUAACUUCGGGAGAAGGUACGCUGUUGUUGGUGAUGGAACUCGCUUCCUGAGCUGACGACAGCCGCAGAAACCAGGCCGCUGCAACUGUUUAUUAAAAACAUAGCACUCUGCAAACACGAAAGUGGACGUAUAGGGUGUGAUGCCUGCCCGGUGCUGGAAGGUUAAUUGAUGGGGUUAGCGUAAGCGAAGCUCUUGAUCGAAGCCCCAGUAAACGGCGGCCGAAUUCCUUGUCGGGUAAGUUCCGACCUGCACGAAUGGCAUAAUGAUGGCGGCGCUGUCUCCAGCAGAGGCUCAGUGAAAUCGAAAUCGCUGUGAAGAUGCAGUGUACCCGCGGCUAGACGGAAAGACCCCGUGAACCUUUACUGCAGCUUGACACUGAACUUUGACCUUACUUGUGUAGGAUAGGUGGGAGGCUUUGAAGCUGGAACGCUAGUUCCAGUGGAGCCGUCCUUGAAAUACCACCCUGGUAAUGUUGAGGUUCUAACUCUGUCCCGUGAUCCGGGACGAGGACCGUGUCUGGUGGGUAGUUUGACUGGGGCGGUCUCCUCCUAAAGAGUAACGGAGGAGUACGAAGGUGCGCUCAGCGUGGUCGGAAAUCACGCGUAGAGUAUAAAGGCAAAAGCGCGCUUAACUGCGAGACCCACAAGUCGAGCAGGUACGAAAGUAGGUCUUAGUGAUCCGGUGGUUCUGUAUGGAAGGGCCAUCGCUCAACGGAUAAAAGGUACUCUGGGGAUAACAGGCUGAUACCGCCCAAGAGUUCAUAUCGACGGCGGUGUUUGGCACCUCGAUGUCGGCUCAUCUCAUCCUGGGGCUGAAGCAGGUCCCACCGUGGGCGCUGGAAAUUUGAGAGGAUCUGCUCCUAGUACGAGAGGACCAGAGUGGACGAACCUCUGGUGUACCGGUUGUGACGCCAGUCGCAUCGCCGGGUAGCUAUGUUCGGAAGGGAUAACCGCUGAAAGCAUCUAAGCGGGAAGCCUACCUCAAGAUAAGAUUUCCCUAGGACUUUAUGUCCUCUAAAGAGCCGUUCGAGACUAGGACGUUGAUAGGUUGGAUGUGGAAGCAUAGUGAUAUGUGAAGCUGACCAAUACUAAUUGCUCGUGAGGCUUGACUAU
rnacentral:rRNA from 1 species